rnacentral:rRNA from 1 species
UGAGCAACCUACCCUUGACCCUGGGAUAACAGUUGGAAGCAGCUGCUAAUACCGGAUACGACCCUGGCAGGCAUCUGCCGGGGUGGAAAGCUCCGACGGUCAAGGACGGGCUCGCGGCCUAUCAGCUUGUUGGUGAGGUAACGGCUCACCAAGGCGACGACGGGUAGCCGGCCUGAGAGGGGCGACCGGCCACACUGGGACUGAGAUACGGCCCAGACUCCGUACGGGGAGGCAGNAGGUAGGG